rnacentral:rRNA from 1 species
GACGAACGCUGGCGGCGUGCUUAACACAUGCAAGUCGAACGGAAAGGCCCUGCUUUUGUGGGGUGCUCGAGUGGCGAACGGGUGAGUAACACGUGAGUAACCUGCCCUUGACUUUGGGAUAACUUCAGGAAACUGGGGCUAAUACCGGAUAGGAGCUCCUGCUGCAUGGUGGGGGUUAGAAAGUUUCGGCGGUUGGGGAUGGACUCGCGGCUUAUCAGCUUGUUGGUGGGGUAGUGGCUUACCAAGGCUUUGACGGGUAGCCGGCCUGCGAGGGUGACCGGCCACAUUGGGACUGAGAUACGGCCCAGACUCCUACGGGAGGCAGCAGUGGGGAAUAUUGCACAAUGGGCGGAAGCCUGAUGCAGCAACGCCGCGUGCGGGAUGACGGCCUUCGGGUUGUAAACCGCUUUCGCCUGUGACGAAGCGUGAGUGACGGUAAUGGGUAAAGAAGCACCGGCUAACUACGUG